rnacentral:piRNA from 1 species
UCCACCUGCUGUCUCUAGCCCCAGUCCCAA